rnacentral:tRNA from 1 species
UUAAUAGAAGCCAAAAAGAGGCUAUUCACUGUUAAUGAAAAAAUUGAAUCUUCCUAUUAAG